rnacentral:rRNA from 1 species
UACAGAGGUGGCAAGCGUUGUUCGGAAUUACUGGGCGUAAAGGGCUCGUAGGCGGCCAACUAAGUCAGACGUGAAAUCCCUCGGCUUAACCGGGGAACUGCGUCUGAUACUGGAUGGCUUGAGAUUGGGAGAGGGAUGCGGAAUUCCAGGUGUAGCGGUGAAAUGCGUAGAUAUCUGGAGGAACACCGGUGGCGAAGGCGACAUCCUGGACCAACACUGACGCUGAGGAGCGAAAGCCAGGGGAGCAAACGGG